UUUUCAUACCCAGACUCCCUGGGUUUUAUGUGCCCUACUUAGAGACCACUGGCCUCUCAGUUCAGACUUGAGCUGGUGUACAAGCCUUCCCUAGUCUGUUCCCAGCCUUGUACUUCACUGCAUCCUUCUGAGUCCUCUGCCUCAAGCUGUUCCACUUACUGGCAUCUCAGUAACGCCUUUCCCACCCCAUGUGUUACACUGUUCUCAUUCCCCUCCCUCCUCACACUUGGGUAGUCUUUCCUGCCUCUCUUCACCUGUCCAAACCCCAUCUGUUUUCAAGGUCCAGCUCAUAGCUUACCAUUUCUGAAAAGCAUAUGCCUGCACCAUCCUAGCCCACAGAGAUCUCUGCAGUUUCGAAAUAUCUGACACUUGCAGCUAUAAGUUUUGAUAGUUAAUUAUUACCUCUUCAGAAAAACUUAUUUUUAUUGUGGUAAAAAACGUUAAACAUAAAACCUUAACCAUUUUUAAGUGUACGGUUCAGUGGUAAUUAAAUACAUUCAUAAUGUACAACCAUCACCACCAGUCCAUCUCCAGAACUCUCUGCAUUUUGUAAAACUGAAACGCUGAACCCAUUAACUUCGUUAACAAUAACUUCGUUGCCUAGCAACUAUUUUUUUUCAGCAUCUGCCACAAAGCCUUGAGUAUAAACUUUGUUUUGAAUCACUGCUUUCUCUAAGGAGUCGCCUGCUUCCUUGCCCCGUUAGGCUGCCUUUAUGUAUUGUGCUUCCCUUCAUCGACUUAACAGAGGUGCCUACAGAGUCCCAGCCCCUGUCACUGUCAUUCACCUUGAAUGCAUAGCAGUUGGGAGACACCUCAUAGAAUGUAAGGAAUGUGAUGCGGCAAAGGCGCAUUCAUUUCCUGUUGCUGCAAUCGUAUUACCACAAACUUAAUGGUUUAAGAUGAUACAAAUGUAUUAUCUUAUGCUUCUAGAGGUCAGAAAUCUAGUGGGUUCACAGGGCUGUGUUCCUUUAGAAACGCUAGGGGAAUCCUUUUCCAGUAUUCCCAAGAAUGCAUCUCCUGGCUUCUAGCGGCUCCCUGUAGUCCUUGGCGGGUGGCUCUCCGUUUGUGCUUCAAAGCGAUCAGCUCCUCUCCCCUCUGCUUCCAUUCCUUCAUCUUCUCCAUCUCUCACCCAUCUGCCUCCCUCUUCUCAGGACCCUGGGAUUACAUUGGGCCCACCCAGAUAAUUCAGAGAUCCUUAACUUAAUCACAUCUGUAGAGUCUCUUUUACCAUAUAUGGUAACAUCUUCACAGAUUGCAUGGAGGCUAGCAUAUAGACAUCUCUGGGGUACAUUAUUCAGCCAGCCACAAAAGGCACACUCUGACAGCACAAGGGGUGGAACUGGGAUCUGUGACACAGACCUUCACACAGAGCCGUGGACUGUGGAAUGUCUGAAUUUAAUGCUUUGGGGUUAGGCACUGGGAGGAGUGGACAGGAAGUCUCAUCUGGCCGUUACUCUCAGUUCUCUUAUUUGAGGUCGGUUUUUAGAUGCCAGUGGCAUCUUGAGUGCCACUGUCGUUCUAGAUUAUGUCAAGUAGUAGAUCUUUGAUAUUUGAGGACUCCUGUCUUAACUAGAGUCUGUGUCUAUGUUCAGGGCACUUUGGAGACCCCACCAUUCCAUGAGGUGGUCAGAGCGACGGAGAGCAUCAGUUGCUUUACUUUUUACCUUUUUCACUUUCUGCAGAAACAGAGAGAUUAUAUCCUUGAAGGAGAGCCGGGGAAGGUGUCUAAUCUUCAAUACUUGCAUAGCUACCUGACUUACAUCAAGCUGUCAAUGGCAAUCAAGCGUAAUGAGAGCAUGGCCAAAGGUCUGCACAGGGCUCUGCUGCAGCAGCAUCCAGAGGAUGACAGCAAGUGCUCCCCCCGGCCCCAGGACCUGAUCCGGCUUUAUGACAUCAUCUUACAGAAUCUUGUGGAAUUGCUCCAGCUUCCUGGUUUAGAGGAAGACAAAGUCUUCCAGAAAGAGAUAGGCCUCAAGAUUCUGGUGUUCAAAGCUUACAGGUAACGUCCCAUGGGAUGGGCAGAGUUUUCCUCUGCCUCCCAGGUUCUGUAAGCAUUUGGAGCAUGACCCAGCCCAUAGCAGAUGGGAUCAUUGGCCUUGAGUGUAUGGUUACCUUGCCUGUGAUCAGAGGAAGGUCAGCCCAGCAUGUUCAAGGGGAGUUUCUAAAGGCUGUGGUCAGUAGUGGCCAGUGAUGAUGACUGCCCUUUGGCCAUGUUGGAGGAGUGGAGCACACACGUUAAACUUGGCUUCCUCACUGGGUGUGGUGGCUCACGCUUGUAAUCCCAGCACUUUGGGAGGCAAAGGCAGGUGGAUCACCUGAGGUCGGGAGUUUGAGACCAGCCUGACUGACAUGGAGAAACUCUGUCUCUAUUAAAAAUACAAAAUUAGCCGGGCAUGGUGGUGCAUGCCUGUAAACCCAGCUACUCAGGAGGCUGAGGCAGAAGAAUAGCUUGAACCUGGGAGGCAGAGGUUGCGGUGAGCCAAGAUCGCACCAUUGCACUCCAGCCUGGGUGACAAGAGUGAAACUCCAUCUC
rnacentral:sRNA from 1 species